AUGCUGGCUUACCACUCUUCUCUCAUGGAUCCUGACAUCAAACUCAUCGGAAACAAGGCACUGUUGCCUAUCAGAAGUCAAUUCAAACGACCUGCCCCCAGAGAGACAAAAGAUACAGAUAUUGUGGAUGAAGCAUCUAUUACUUCAAGGCCAAUAUCUUCUUCAAAAACUAUGAAAUUAAGAAUGAAGCUGAUAGGACCUUGAUAAUAUAUAAUGAUAUAUAUAACUCUCUACAUUUCUGAAUGUCUGAAGAAACUCCAAAAGUGCAAUUCCAAAAGCCAAGGUGAGAAAGAAAUGUAUACACUGGGAAUCACUAAUUUUCCCAUUCCUGGAAAGCCUGGUUUUCUACUUAACGCAAUUUAUGCCAAACCUGCAAACAAACAGGAAGAUGAAGUGAUGAGAGCCUAUUUACAACAGCUAAGGCAAGAGACUGGACUGAGACUUUGUGAGAAAGUUUUCGACCCUCAGAAUGAUAAACCCAGCAAGUGGUGGACUUGCUUUGUGAAGAGACAGUUCAUGAAUAAGAGUCUUUCAGGACCUGGGCAGUGA
rnacentral:lncRNA from 1 species